CUAACGCGUUAAGUAUCCCGCCUGGGGAGUAUCGCAAGAAUGAAACUCAAAGGAAUUGACGGGGGCCCGCACAAGCGGUGGAGCAUGUGGUUUAAUUCGAUGCAAAGCGAAAAAUGUUACGAGAUUUAGAUUAAUUGAAUUCAGUAUAAGUUCAAGACAUAUUAGAGCUCUAACCAUGUUUCGGCUUGUGAUCAAUCCAUAGAUACCAAUCGAAAAUAAAUAGACACUCAAAAAAAGUCCCAU
rnacentral:rRNA from 1 species